GUCACAAUCACAACACUCAGAACCUACAUGAAUAUGGUUACUGUAUAAUUCAUCCUUUUGACCUCUGUGUUUAAGAUGACUCAGGGUUAAACUGUCAACCCUGAUCAGAUCAUCCGAAUCACGCUCAACUCAAACAGUCCUGUAACUCCUCACAAGGACUACCCUGGCCAAGAUUUUGCUAAAUUGAAAUACGACUGUACACAGCUCCUAAACUGGAGUGGUCAAUUCCAUCUUGACACACGCACCGACAAGUCAAGUACUUGACUACACCCAGCAGCCUUCCAUCACUGAAUUAAAAAUUCAGGUAGUCCAGUGCCUAAGUGCAGUGAGUUGCUUGCAAGUCACCGUGGCGGUCUC
rnacentral:lncRNA from 1 species